rnacentral:rRNA from 1 species
UACGUAGGGGGCUAGCGUUGUCCGGAAUUACUGGGCGUAAAGCGCGCGUAGGCGGCUUUGCAAGUCGGGUGUGAAAUCCCCAGGCUCAACCUGGGAACUGCAUUCGAGACUGCAUUGCUAGAGUAUGGGAGAGGGAAGUGGAAUUUCCGGUGUAGCGGUGAAAUGCGUAGAUAUCGGAAGGAACAUCAGUGGCGAAAGCGACUUCCUGGACCAAUACUGACGCUCAUGUGCGAAAGCGUGGGGAGCGAACAGG